CUUAAAGAACUAAAGAGACUAAACGUUUCACAGAAGAUCGUUUUGGUGUUCGUUUAAUAUUUCGUAAUUAUUCCAUUGAUAAAGAAUUUAUGUCUCUUAAAAAAGGAAAAUCGCAAUAUGUGUUCUUGUUUCAUGACUUUAAUGUGGACCUUUUAACGGAAUACUCGAGUUUUAUUCUUUAAUUUGUAUGUCUGGCUCAAUUGAUGUUGGAAGUUAUGGAUAUUUUUUUCGUGAAGCCAAGAGACGAUGAUAAUUGAUUUUUGCACGAUAUGUAAUCAUCGAGUUAUUUACUUCUUGUUAUUGAACCUUUCAUAAAAGUACCGCCAAGACAUAGCAAUUUUCUUAGUUAGAUUUUUUAUUUUGAUUCUUGAGAAUUGUGUCGUGAUCGCUGAUGUUUCUUUAAGACCGAAUUAUGAUUCGAGGAAUUGGAGUAUAGUGCUUGAAAUGAAAAAGAAGACCAAAAAGCUGAGUAUCUUAUCUGAAACUUUUAUCGAAGAGCUACUGUUGAAGAUGUUACAAAGAAAAUAAAAAUCACCUCCUCAGAACUUUUCGAAGCUGAUUUUCUGGAGUGGCACAACUGUCCAAGUACUUAUCUGUAACAUUACUCAAACUGAAGAGAAGAGGCAGUCAACGAUCGGAAGCUUAAGGCCUAGAAAUUGAAAUCGUUUGCUUUUAGUUUUUGAUUUUUGUUUCGAAUUUCGGCUUUGAAGAAAAAUGGUAACUUUGUUUAACAAGUAUUUCUUAGCGAUACUUUGAAAUGACAGUUAAAAUGUUUCCAUGAUAAAUUUUUCAAUGAAGAUAGAAGUCGCAUCUUCUCUAAAAUGAAAGCGAUGUAAAUUGAUUUAAAAUUAUCUGUAUUUGUUGUAAUUCUACAGCUCACAAGAAGUUACUUUAUUGACUUAAAAAUUAAAUUUCAAUUAAAAACAUUUUUUUCUAAAUUAUCGCUAUGAAAAAGCUGAAAGUAAAUACCAUCUAGUAAUAAAUUAUAACUUGAAGUGAAA